GCCCUCGUAGCUCAGUUGGUAGAGCAAAUGACUCUUAAUCAUUGGGCCCGGAGUUCGAGUCUCCGCGAGGGCA
rnacentral:tRNA from 1 species